UGCCCACCUGUGCCGGCCCAUCUGCCUUAGAGCUGUAGGUUGUUUCUGUUCGUCCAUAGAUUGUAAUGAAUUCCAUCAAAGCUUUUUUUUUUUUCUUUUUUUUUCAUCUUUUACGGCAGCAUUUCCAUGUUUCUGCUACGAACCGCAGGGCUGCCUUGUUUGCAGCACAAUCUCUCUCUAGAAGGAGGAGAGCUCUGAGAGUUUAUUAAAACAAACAGAACCGUGGAGCUGAUCCACGCUGGAGUAAUCCUAUGGAAAUAGGCUUUAAUUAAAACAGCCGGAAUCAAAACUUCACUGCGUGCCAGCACGCUGUGGAGCCAAAUGGCCCCGAGCACCCAGCUCCGGGGAGAGCGUCACUUUGGCUGCGUGCAAAAGAAACUUCUUCAAGGAGAAAUGUUAAGGAAAGUUGGUGAUUACCAUUAGAAACGAAGCUCGGGAAUUUGCAGCAUUCCCACUGAUUGUUUGUUGGGAAUAAUAAUUAAAAAAAAAAAAAAUCAAAAGUUCUAAAGGGGGGGAAUUCUUUACUCACAGGACGGUGAGGCCCUGGCACAGCUGCCCAGAGAAGCUGUGGUGCCCCAUCCCUGGAGGUGCUCAAAGCCAGGUUGGAUGCGGCCCUGGGCAGCUGAGCUGCUGGGUGGCAGCCCUGCCCAUGGCACGGGGUUGGAGCUGGGAGGGCUUUGAGGUCCCUUCCAACCCAAACUGUUCUGUGAUUCCACGAUUCAAACUUUUUUUCCACUGCACUCACAUAACCCUGUGAGUCAAGGCCGCUGCCUUAGUUGUAACACUGCUUCUCUGUAAGAUGCCAAUGUAAAAUGUGUUUACGGAGCAUCACUUACCUAUGAAAUUUUGCUAUGUCAAGAAAAUGCUUCUAUAGAAAAUAUAAGAAUCCAUUUAUAGAAAAUAUAAGAAUCCACUUAUCCACAAAAUGCUAUCAAAGCAACUAUGGACAUAGGAUGAACUGUAUACGUUGCCCAUUAACUUGUUUGGCGUGGUGCUGUGCUAAGAUGUGCCUGUGCACAUCAGAAGGUCUCCCGUUCUGUCUCCAUCCAUUGCAACAACAGCUUUAGUCUUUUCCUUUUUACAUAGGAGAUCUACGUGGUUUUCAAUUGCUCAAAAAGAAAUCAAUGUUUUAAGAAUGAAAGAUGAGCACUCGGUAUGAGAAGCCCACUGCCAGUGGGGGAAAAAAAUGUAUAUCUGAAUUUUUGCACCCAGAGUGAUGAAUAUUUUGAGCCCUAACAAUUUAGCAAUGGAAAAAAAUGGGUACAUACUUAAAAAUAUAUAUUUUUUGGAAGAUUGUUAUGGCUGUUGUGUGAUAGGUGGAUAAUGUUGUAGUACAGUAUGUUCUAAGAAAAACAUCUACUGAAAUCAUACUUGAUAUCUCCGGAGGUUUUAAGCCACAUCCCUUAUAACCAUUUUCAGGAAAGAACAGUGAUGAUGUCAGUGAUUCAUUUGAUUUUGCUUUGAGAAACUCAUGGGCAAAGAACUAAAAAGGUGUAUAAAAACUGGUAAUGAAAUUACCCACGUUUGAAAUAAAGCCACCAAUUGUAUCAGUAAUUAAAACUAUGUCAAAGUGCAGAUGUGCUGAGCGAGCAAGAUGAGCAAUUUUAGGCAAAGCCAUCACUGGAUGUGCCACAAUUAUAACAAACUCAUGCUCAGGGCUAGUACUGGGGGUAGGGUGAGGAGGCACCUUGCACAGAAGCAUCCCAUCCCCAGGCUCAGCCUCUAUGUGCUACCACAGCCCAAAUAAAUGAGGAGAACCUCAUGUAAACCAGAAGCAUCACGCUGAGGGUAGAGAAAAUAAAGAAGCAGAUGCUGUCUGAUCUAAGGAAGAAAAGAAUCUUCCCAGGAACAAGUCCCAGUUCCAUCCCACCUCCCUUCCAGUAUGGAUCCUCUUCUUUUGCCCCCUGUUUUGCUGCCAUUCUGUUCCUUGCUGCCAUUGAUUCUCAAUCCCUCCUCGCAGCAAAACAGACCUGGGAUGUAGGGCUGGCAGCCUGCACAAGCAGUCAGGCACCAUGGUUGGAAGAGGAAGGGCAGCACAGCACCUCCGGCCCUUGGCCAGCUUGGUAAAAAGCCAGGAUUCAGCUGCUCCCUGUGGGGGCAGGAUGUAAGGAGUGCUGGAAAGCAGUGGGAGGGAGGGGAACUUCCAUCUGUUUAGGUAGAAAAGCCACAGUGUGAAGGAAGGUCUGUCUUCACACUGCCCGUCAGGAGUGCCUUGGAUAGCAUGGCUCUCUUUCAUUAUUUAGAAAAACACUGUCAGAUACUGUGAGCCUGAAGUUUAAGCUAGGUUAAAAGGAAGGAAGGGAAAAAAAAAGAAAAGAAGGGAGAAGUUAGCUUCAAAGUGAACCUUGAGCUGUGCUCUUUGCUCACGGUGAAAAAUGUAGCUUGCUUCACGAUUACAGAGUUCAAAGGUUUUAUUUUAUUGCCACCACACUUUGCCUUUUUCACUCCAUUGAAAACACUAGUUGUUAUUUUUUCCAUCACAUCAUCUGCUGCUCAGGAGAAACUCUCCUGAUGGCCAGAUACUUUCUAGAGCACACCAGCGGGAGCACAGUGCAUGCCAGCAAGCUCCCUUUCCUGAGCCAGUUCUAAAGAACCCAACCUGGUGUCUCGACUGCACCUUGCAUAUGUGGCCUUACUGAGAGUCCCAUCACUGUUUCUUCCCACUUUCCCACUGAAACUCAGUAAAGCAUUGGAGUGGUGCAAGUCCUCACCAUUCCCACCUGCGUUCAACAAGGUCAUCCUCCAAGGCUGGAUCCUCAUGAGUCGUCUGUAUUUAAAUGUCAGGGACCUCUGAUGGUGUUACAUGCAAAAAUACGGAUAGCUUCUCCAUCCCAGUAGAGCAGGUGACCCAGAGGACUGAAAUUUGCUAUCAUCAGGUGGUUCCAGCAGGGCAAGGCUGUUACAAAGCAGGACAAGCAGGGCUGCAGCUGUGUAUGCUGAGCAGUGCAUUCUCUAGGAGCAGGCAUUGCACAAGAUCAGACCGAGAAAAAUUUUAUUUGUCUUAGCAAAAGGCACCACGGCAAUACUUACUUUAAAUCACGGGGAAAUAAAUGUCAGAGUUGCAAACUCUCUUCUGUUUUUUGUCAGAUGAUUGUCUCCCAUUAUGUGCUGCAUCUAAAGGUUACACUGCCUGGUAUCUGCAAUAUUUGUGAGUUAGGAACAGUGAGAUUCUAAAUUACUAGGCUUUUGAGAGCUAGAUGUGCUUCUGAUGAGUUUUUAUUUACUGUUUGUGAUCAAAAGAAAGAGGAAAGCAGUAUUUAUUGUGAUAUUUGUAUGAUUAAGGCUCUUUAUAACCAAAAUGGUUUAAUUUUAUGAAUACUUAAGGUGGUAUUUUCAACGCAACUAUGUAACAUAAGUAAAUGUGAGCUUGCAUUUAUAAAUGUGUUCUGUUAACUCAUUUUGGUAAUUGCCUCUUUCCUUUCAUUAAAGUCUCAGACAGAUGAGACAGUUAAAGGAGCUGUUGUAUGAGCAUUAAAUUAGGGCUGCCUAACUUGAAGUCCCUCAAAGCAGUUAGAUAUUUGGUGAAAAUGAUGAAUUCUGGGGUGCUGACUCAUGUGAUCUGAAAAUGCCAUCCAUUUCCUGAUUCACCUUCAUGCCUUCUCUAGGAAAAGAAGAAUGUUUUACAAUGAACACCUGCAGUCAAACAAUGUUCUGUGUGUUUGUUUUUCUAUCUUUCAGCCACUUCUCUGAACUGUUACCUUCAAAAUGAAGAGCAAGACAGAGGUCACCUAUCAUCAGCACCAAGAACAGACCACAGGUCCCCUGACACAGCACUACCACUGUGCAGAAUCUGUGUUGAGCUAAACUCUCUGCAGACAUGCCUUUAGCUUUUAUGCUGUGCUGUCGCAAAGCAGUGCUCAGAACAAAGGAAGCCCAUUUCCUAAGCAGUUGAAAACUUUGCUAGCAAAGUACAGUGCACUUGUUCAUUGCAGGCAGUCCAUUUAAAAAUGUACAGCUAUCUUCUAUGUUGUUCUUCCAUUUAAAUCUGCAUAAAUCAGCCUGCAUCGUAGCUUUGUCAGCUGGCUGAUAUUCAACAAUGAGAGGAAGUAGAAAGCGGCAGAAUUAAUAUCCACUGGCUGAAUGUAGUUCCAGUACCACCUAACACUAGAGUGUUUGACUAAUUGAUUGCCCUUAGCAUUCUGCUAACAACAGAUGUACGGUAUGAGUUAAAUUAGUAAAUUUGUAUUGCUCCUAUUGCUUUCCAUAGCCUGAAACAGUUGUAAUUAUUGAAAUUAUUUAAAUCAGAAACAUUGUAUUCAAAACACUUUAAUUGAUUUUCUUUGUAUUUUUGUUAAUAAAAACUGCUCUAAUAAAAGUA
ensembl:lncRNA